rfam:Haloferax volcanii DS2 plasmid pHV4, complete sequence.
GUUUCAGACGAACCCUUGUGGGUUUGAAGC